rnacentral:rRNA from 1 species
GAUGAACGCUGGCGGCGUGCUUAACACAUGCAAGUCGAACGAAGCAUUUGCGACAGAUUUUUUCGGAAUGAAGUUGCUUAUGACUGAGUGGCGGACGGGUGAGUAACGCGUGGGUAACCUGCCUUGUACUGGGGGAUAGCAGCUGGAAACGGCUGGUAAUACCGCAUAAGCGCACAAUGUUGCAUGACAUGGUGUGAAAAACUCCGGUGGUAUAAGAUGGACCCGCGUCUGAUUAGCUAGUUGGUGAGAUAACAGCCCACCAAGGCGACGAUCAGUAGCCGACCUGAGAGGGUGACCGGCCACAUUGGGACUGAGACACGGCCCAGACUCCUACGGGAGGCAGCAGUGGGGAAUAUUGCACAAUGGAGGAAACUCUGAUGCAGCGACGCCGCGUGAGUGAAGAAGUAAUUCGUUAUGUAAAGCUCUACCAGCAGGGAAGAUAGUGACGGUACCUGACUAAGAAGCUCCGGCUAAAUACGUG